GAAAAGAGUGGAGAGUUGAAGCCGUGUCCAUGCUAAAUGGCUUUCUGGAUGACGUAGACUCAGCGCUGAAGCUGAAAGAAGAAAAAGAGAAAACGAUGGUUGAAAUAAAGGCUGUUCUCAGCAACAUUCUUGAUGAUGUGGACACAAGUAUGAGAGAAAAAGAUGAGGCUGUGACAUCUGAGGUGGGGGCUGUACUUAAUGAUCUUUUGGACAACGUAGACUCUGCUCUUGGUAAGUUUAAGGCUAAAUAACAGAA